AUUUAGCUAGUAACCUAAGCUGACUGUAGCAAUUCUGUUUCCCAGUAAUCCUAUUGUCUAUGUUUAACCAAUUAAAACAAGAUAAAGUCAGCUGGUGGGAGGUUAAUUUCUGGGGACACUUUUGCUUUCUUGAUAUAAAGUCCAGCUGAGGCCAGGGCUGACCCUUUCCCCAUUUUUCCUUCCCCCAGUGCAAAUAAUAGCAGCCAUUUUGUAACUCCGAGAGAAAAGUCAAAAAAAUUACACAGAUGUCAACCUUUAUACUACUCAACUAUUGAAUGAAUACCAGAAAACACCUAUCAUCUAUGUAAAAUAAAUAAAUAAAUAAAUUUCUAUUUGUUUACAUCACUGUUAGGUAAUUUUAACUUAAAACUAACUCAUGUCAAAAACGAGGACUAACAAUCAGAUAACAUUUUUCUGUUGCAACUUGAGUAACUUUAUCUCAAUGUAAAAACACUUUAAUUUCUAUCAAAACAUUUGGUGCUCAAAAUAUUACUGUUUUAUUUAGGAUAUGUGUUACUAUUUCCAUUUUCUAACAAGGUACAGGGAAACUUACUUUCUCAAGACACAACUCAAGAUAAAGAUGGAACAAACGUCCAAUUCACUUCCAUUAACACUAUUCUGCAAUCCUACCUAGUAAUCUCUAAAAAUACCAUUUUUCUCUCAUUGGCUUUACCACCCCUACACUGGUUUUAGUUCUUUCUUUUCUUUAAGAACAAAUGUUUUUUAUCUUACCAUUUAAAGCUACUACAAACUAAUCUUUUUUGAAAGGAAUAUUAUCAUUAAAGAACAAAAUAAGUUAAUUCUGUUCUUUAUCAGAGAAAUAUAAUUCUAAUUAAGAUUUUCCACUUAUGCCUGAUAAUUAGUUACCAAAUUACUUCAUCUAAAAAAGUUUAUUAUAGAACAACCUGAAUCAGGGUGGAGAAUGGGAAUCUUAUAACCAUAUUGCCUCUGUGUGAUAUACAUAGAUUAAAUAUUUUGUAAAUACCAGAGAUCACAUACCUGGGGAGUAAGGUAGCAAAUAUGAAUGUUAUUUAUUUAACUCAUCUUCCAAACAAAAGCUGCUAAAAGGACAACAGAUGCUAAAAUAAAGGUGUUUUAUUAAAUAACAUGUUUCAUUUAAAAUGUGGCUUUUUACAAGAGGGCUUUGUAUUCUGAGCAUAGCAAUAAGAAGGGUAUCAUACCUAAGACAAAAUACAAAGAAGCUACAGAAUUCAUUAUUAUGUUUACGGUUUAAAGUGAAAACAUCAAAAAAUUUAUGCUGUUGAUCAUCUUUUUUCUUGUUAGUAGAUAUUAAUCCAUAUCACUAUGAACAAAACAUGAAUGAAUAAUCUGUAAAGUCAUAAAUUUAACAUAAUAAAGAUGUCCAGUAAGUUCUAUCUGAAACCCUUUUGCAAAAUAGUACUUCCGCAAAUAGUACUUGGUUUUUAGUUUAAAAUAUUGUCCUGAUUAAAUCAUACAGGAAAAAAGCGCACAUGCAAAUAUAGUCCAUCUGAUCCUAAGAGUUAUCACAACUUCCUGUUUGAAAGUUCCAAGCUAUGAACACACCAGAGUAAAAUUAUAAUAUGGGUCAUAAAAAAACCCGAGUACUUAAUGAAGAAAUUAUAGUAUUCAGCACACGUAAGUGCCAUUUAUAUUUCUGAAGUCUUUUAACAACGAGUUUAACAUUAUUUACAUUUAUUCCUUAUUGUACUUGAAAGGAGACACGAGUUUUAAACCACCAUUAAGUCUUAAGUAUCUAAUUACCCUGUGCCUUAGGCAAUAGGUCAGGUACUUUAUUUUAUACUUUAUCUCAUUUAAUCCUCACAAGACCUGCCACUAUAUAUCAUAACACCUAUGUUAUGAAUAAGAGAGUAAGUUCAGAGAGGCUGAGAUUUUACAAAUACUUGAAAAUAUUUCUAUUACAGUCAAGUUCAAAAUUUAUUUGGGAUAUUUGUUCUUGCCUACUUAGUUAAAAAUUAUGCUGUGAUACUGGGCCUAACUGAUCAAAAAGGUACAUGAGUUGAAAGAGCAGUUGUAAGAAAAAAAAUGCUUUUUGACAUACAGAAAUGAAUUAUU